rnacentral:sRNA from 1 species
AAAUAAAAACACAAAAAAA